UCUGACCGCCACUUUCAAACUACAUCCAUGAAAUAGCCGCGAAUGCGCGCUUUAAAGCCACUGGAGUCCAUCUAUCGCUUCAAGAAGUCCUUAUAAACAAUCCGGAACCGACCCUGACGAUCGGUUUACCCCAGUGCAUCUGGAACAUUUUACAGUACAUGCCAUUUUGGUUUAUGAGACAAAAGUACCCGCUGUUGCCCUGUGUGUAUGAAGACAAAGCCCUUGAUAAGUUGAAGUGGACCAGAAGAUGUUAAAGAAAUGAUAGCUGCACCGGAAUUACAAUCAGAGUUUCAUUACCCAUCAGGACACUGACACCCGAUUCUCAUCAGACACUGAUUUCGAUGAUCCUGAUGGGAGGAAUGUCUUUGUUGGGAAAGGGAAGGCGAAGAAAGGAAAGAAGGGCCCUGGAGAGAAGGGGAAGGGAGCGGGGAAAGGGGCUGGACGCAUGAACGGUCACCACCAGGAAAACGGCAUGGAAAAUGUCAUGCUUUUUGAAGUGGUCAGGCUGGGAAAGAGUGCCAUGCAGUCGGUCGUUGAUGACUGGAUUGAGUCCUACAAACAUGACAGAGACGUCGCACUUCUCGACUUGAUCAAUUUCUUCAUCCAGUGCUCUGGCUGCAAAGGUGUUGUUACUGGUGAGAUGUUCCGCAACAUGCAAAACUCUGAGAUCAUCAGGAAGAUGACAGAAGAGUUUGAUGAGGACAGCGGUGAUUACCCGCUCACCAUGGCCGGGCCGCAGUGGAAGAAGUUCAAGUCUAGUUUCUGUGAGUUUAUUGGCGUGUUGGUGCGGCAGUGUCAGUACAGCAUCAUCUAUGACGAGUACAUGAUGGACACGGUCAUCUCACUGCUCACCGGACUCUCUGACUCUCAAGUCCGAGCCUUCAGACACACCAGCACACUGGCAGCUAUGAAGUUGAUGACAGCCCUCGUGAAUGUAGCUCUGAACCUCAGCAUCAACAUGGACAACACUCAGCGGCAGUACGAAGCAGAGAGGAACAAGAUGAUUGGCAAGAGGGCCAAUGACAGGCUAGAGCUUCUGCUUCAGAAACGCAAGGAGUUGCAAGAAAAUCAAGAUGAGAUUGAGAACAUGAUGAAUGCCAUUUUCAAGGGUGUCUUUGUUCACCGAUAUCGUGAUGCAAUAGCAGAGAUCCGGGCGAUCUGCAUCGAGGAGAUCGGCGUGUGGAUGAAAAUGUAUAGUGAUGCAUUUCUUAACGACAGCUAUCUGAAGUAUGUGGGCUGGACCAUGCACGACAAGCAAGGUGAGGUGCGUCUGAAGUGUCUCACGGCUCUGCAGGGGCUGUACUAUAACCGCGAGCUCAAUGCCAAGCUGGAGCUCUUCACCAGCCGCUUCAAGGACCGUAUUGUGUCCAUGACACUGGACAAGGAGUACGACGUUGCAGUGCAAGCAAUAAAACUGCUCACACUGGUGUUACAUAGCAGUGAUGAGGUUCUGACUGCAGAAGACUGUGAGAGUGUGUACCAUCUAGUGUAUUCAGCCCACCGACCCGUCGCUGUGGCAGCAGGAGAGUUCCUCUUUAAGAAACUGUUCAGUCAUCGAGACCCUGAAGAUGACAGCAUGCCCAAGAGACGAGGCAGACAGAGUGUGAAUGCCAACCUCAUCAAAACCGCUGUCUUUUUCUUCUUGGAGAGUGAGCUUCACGAGCAUGCAGCCUACCUAGUGGACAGCAUGUGGGACUGUGCAGCAGAGAUCCUGAAGGACUGGGAGUGCAUGAUCAGCCUACUACUGGAUGAGCCAUUGCCUGGAGAGGAAGCUCUGACGGACAGACAGGAGACUGCUCUGAUAGAGAUCAUGCUGUGCACCAUCCGUCAGGCUGCAGAGUGCCAUCCUCCUGUGGGCAGAGGCACAGGCAAGAGGGUUCUGACAGCGAAGGAGAAGAAGACUCAGCUUGAUGACCGGACGAGAAUGACGGAGAUCUUCGCUAUAGCAUUGCCAGCUUUACUUGCAAAGUACUCUGUGGAUGCAGAGAAAGUGACAAAUCUGCUGCAGCUGCCUCAGUUUUUUGAUCUGGAGAUCUAUACCACAGGCCGUUUGGAAAAGCACCUGGAUUCAUUGUUAAGACAAAUCAGAGAGAUUGUGGAGAAGCACACGGACACAGAUGUGCUCGAGGCUUGCUCUAAAACCUACCAUGCCCUGUGCAACGAGGAGUUCACUAUCUUUAACCGAGUGGAUAUCGCCCGUAGCCAGCUCUUGGAUGAGCAAGUGGACAAGUUCAACAGGCUACUGGAGGACUUCCUGCAGGAGGGUGAAGACCCAGAUGAAGAUGAUGCUUAUCAAGUUCUGUCCACACUGAAGAGGAUCACAGCUUUUCACAAUGCUCAUGACCUUUCCAAAUGGGAUCUCUUCACUAGCAAUUACAAGUUACUGAACACUGGUAUUGAGAACGGAGAUAUGCCUGAGCAGAUUGUCAUUCACGCACUGCAGUGCACACAUUACGUCAUUCUUUGGAGUUUAGCCAAGGUCUCUGAGGGCACUUCUAAAAAGGAGGACAUGUUGACUCUGAGGAAGCAGAUGAGGGCGUUUUGUCUAAUGUGCCAGCGUUACCUAACCAGCGUCAACACCGCCGUCAAAGAGCAGGCCUUCACCAUCCUCUGUGACCUGCUGCUGAUCUUCAGCCAUCAGAUCAUCUCAGGUGGGAGGGAAGCUCUCGAGCCCCUAGUAUACACACCCGAGGCGUCCCUGCAGUCUGAGCUUCUCAGUUUCAUCCUGGACCACGUCUUCAUUGACCAGGAUGAAGACAGCAACAGCACAGAUGGGCAGCAGGAUGAUGAAGCAAGUAAAAUCGAAGCUUUGCACAAGAGGCGAAACCUGCUGGCCGCAUACUGCAAACUCAUUAUCUACAAUGUUGUUGAGAUGAACACUGGUGCAGAUAUUUUCAAGCAAUACAUGAGGUAUUACAAUGAUUACGGUGACAUCAUCAAGGAAACUAUGAGCAAGACGAGACAGAUCGACAAAAUCCAGUGUGCAAAGACACUCAUUCUGAGCUUACAGCAGCUAUUCAAUGAGAUGCUGUCAGAUCUGGGACCCAGCUUUGACCGCUCAUCCUCAGCUUUCUGUGGCAUUAAAGAGCUCGCUCGACGCUUCUCUCUGACUUUUGGUCUGGAUCAGCUCAAAACCAGAGAGGCCAUCGCUAUGUUACACAAGGACGGUAUUGAGUUUGCCUUCAAAGAGCCCAAUCCUCAGGGGGAGGGGCAUCCUCCUCUCAACUUGGCUUUUCUUGACAUUCUCAGCGAGUUCUCAUCCAAACUCAUGCGUCAGGACAAGCGGACUGUGCACACGUAUUUGGAGCGCUUCAUGACAUUUCAGAUGGCCCUGCAGAGAGAAGACUGCUGGCUGCCGCUCAUCUCUUACAGGAACUCACUGCAGGCAGGGGGUGAUGAUGACACAAUGUCUGUGGUCAGUGGCAUCAGUAGCCGAGGCUCCUCCGUCAGGAGUAAAAAAGCUAAGCCUGCCACUGGCAAGAGGAAAUUACCAGAAGAGGAGAGCAGCAGCAGCAGUGACAUAUGGAUGAGCCGUGAGCAGAGCAUGCAGACGCCCGUCAUGAUGCCUUCACCCCACCUCACCUCCACCAUCAUGAGAGAGCCCAAACGCCUGCGUCCUGAGGAGAGCUACAUGGGGGUGUACACCAUGACCCCCGAUCAGCAACAGCAGCACGCACACCCUCAGACCCCUCAGCCACAACACCACCAGACUCCCAUGGACUACAAACACAAGUCACUUGGAUGUUAGCACAGAGACAGCAGCAAGAGGAAGUGGCCAGACAGCAGCAAGAAAGAGCUAUGAACUACGCCAAAUUAAGGAGCAACCUUCAGCAUGCUAUUCGUCGAGGAACAGGCCUUAUGGAGGAUGAUGAGGAGCCCAUUGUGGAAGAUGUGAUGAUGUCAUCAGAAGGCCGAAUUGAGGAUCUCAAUGAAGGCAUGGACUUUGACACCAUGGAUAUUGAUCUGCCCCCAUCGAAGAAUCGACGAGAGAGAUCGGAACUGAAGCCCGACUUUUUCGACCCUGCCUCCAUCAUGGAUGAGUCUGUCCUGGGAGUGCCCAUGUUUUAAGAUUAUAAUUGGAGGCGUGUGAAGAGAAGAGACAUUUUGCGUGAAUUCACAUUGAUUCUCUAAAGAGAAUUAAAUUCAAUGGAGUGAUUGGCAUCCAAAUCAGCUCGUACCAUUGACACUUUUACUAAAACGCAGAAAGGAUAAAGGAGCAAUUCAAAGUCUUUGCAAUCGUUGUGUGGGCUUUCCCUGAUCGUGCAAAACCGUGAGAGUAGAUACUGAACGCCAUGGAAUCUCGGACUGUCCUUAGCCAUACAUGAGUUUAUGAAAAAAAAAUAUAUAUAAAUAUAUAUAUAUAAAUAUUUCACAGUUGAACGUCAUCAUGUUUGAAGAAACAUAUGUGAGAUCUCUUAGAGUUGUGGUAUUUCUUGAAACCGGGGGUGAAUGCAUCUUUUUUAACUUAAAGACAACUUUGUUAUGUAUAGCCCUUUUGUAAUAGUGAGUAAUCUGGUGUAAAGUAGUAAUUUAUAAGCAGGGUUUUGCUCAUCAUAGUGAGUAUUGAUAUAUUUUAUUCUUCUUAUCUAAUAUGUGAAAUGGAGGAAAACCUCCAGGUCUUUAUAUCUAGUAUUUAGUUUCCUUUUAUUCCACCCUUAAAAAUCAUGACAUACAACAUGAAACCUAAAUCAAAACACUCUGAGCACCCCGAUUUAUUCCCGCCUUUGGUGCAUUUUUGAUAUUUUGGUGCAAUUUCAGUGACACGAUCAGUGAUUGGUGUAUGUGAAAUACCUCGACCAUUCAGUGGGCUUGUUGCUGUCUUUGCACCAGCAGAACUGUUUUUAUGUGCCAACCGCUCUAGUAAAUCAGGAACUUAGACUCCUAGUCGGUCCGUGGAGAUGCACAGAAAGGACUGUAAUUCUUCUGCUGAGUCACGUGGCUUAUCCAAAGAUCAGAUCUGCUCGCUUGUCCCUCUAAAAUCUAAGAUCAAGCAAAGAAGAGGAAAUCUCUCCAGUAGUGCCAUUGUGUUGUCUCUGAUAAAACAAAACUUAGUGUAGUAUGUCUGGUGGAGAUUUUCUUCUCCCUGAUUAGAGCUAUGUAGACAUCUACAUUUAAAUGAAGUUAUAUAUAAAUAUAUAAAUUGGUGCUGAUUUUAUAAUUGUGCUUUAGUUUUUUUGUUUUUUUUUACCUCCCCUCUUAUUUUUAAAACUCCCAACUUAGAGUUAAAAGGUUUUGAAAUGUAUAAGAACAUGUCUAAACAUGAAAGUGUGUAGCCAUGCAGCAAGUAAUGUUUUUUGAGAUUUUAUCAUUUUUUUCUUCUAAUUUUGUGUUUAUUGUUUGAAUCUUUUUUUGUUGUUGUUGGUCAGUCUUAAGAGGUUUUUAGGUUUCAUCUUUUUCCUGAUUGUAAAUUAGUUUGGUUGCAAAUCAUGGACAGAACUGUUUCAUUCAGCUCUAAGUUUGUUGUUCCCAGUAUGAGUAAGUGUAACAAUAACAUCCUUUGAGAUCCUUUAAUGUUACAGCAUUGCAUUCGGCAGCUCUAUGAAGCUUGAUUAAUACAUUUAACUUAUAUUGCAGACAUGUGCAUUUUGUCUGGGGUGUACUUUUUUAAUCAUUCCAUGCCUUGGCCUUAAAACAUCCUUGUUUUAAAAAGGAAAAGAAGGUGGUAGUCAAACAUAAAUCUUCCAUGUUGAAACUUUUAUGUGUGGUACAUUGGAUUCCUUUCACAUCAGAAAAGGAACAGUGCAUUUCUAAAACGGCAUGAGUGUAAUUAUUUAAAAGAAGGUGUGCAGACAGAUUUUGAAUUUAUGAAAGUAAAUGCCCUUUGGCUUAAACUGUUUUCUGUUCCUCACCACUACAUUAAUUAAACUGCUGAAUAGAUUGUGUAAAUAUACAUGCAUUUAGACGUAAAGCUUAAUUUUCUAGUGCUUUUUUCUGUUAACUUUUAAAACAUAUUAUCACUUUUCCCUGUUCAGAGAUAUAAACUCAUACAUAACUGAUUCCCUGUCCUCUGUUAUCCAUUGUAAUGUUUCUGAUUUGUAUCUGUCUGGAGACAGUAAGUUUUUUGAAUAAAAGUAAACAAAUCUUU